UGCCAGCAGCCGCGGUAAUACAGAGGGUCCAAGCGUUGAUCGGAAUCACUGGGCUUAAAGGGUUCGCAGGCGGACUGGUAAGUAUGUUGUGAAAUCCCACGGCUCAACCGUGAAUUGCUUCGUAGACUGCUAGUCUUGAGCACGACAGGGGCCAUCAGAACGAUAGGUGGAGCGGUGAAAUGCGUAGAUAUCUAUCGGAAUGCCAAAGGUGAAGACAGAUGGCUGGGUCGUCGCUGACGCUCAGGAACGAAAGCAUGGGUAGCGAACGGGAUUAGAUA
rnacentral:rRNA from 1 species